rfam:Rattus norvegicus chromosome 17, whole genome shotgun sequence.
GGGGAUUUAGCUCAGUGGUAGAGCGCUUGCCUGGCAAGCACAAGGCCCUGGGUUCGGUCCUCAGCUCUG